rnacentral:rRNA from 1 species
CCUACGGGUGGCUGCAGUGGGGAAUAUUGGACAAUGGGCGAAAGCCUGAUCCAGCCAUGCCGCGUGUGUGAAGAAGGCCUUCGGGUUGUAAAGCACUUUCAGUGGGGAAGAAAGCCUUGGGGCUAAUACCCUCGAGGAAGGACAUCACCCACAGAAGAAGCACCGGCUAACUCCGUGCCAGCAGCCGCGGUAAUACGGAGGGUGCGAGCGUUAAUCGGAAUUACUGGGCGUAAAGCGCGCGUAGGCGGUCUGAUAAGCCGGUUGUGAAAGCCCCGGGCUCAACCUGGGAACGGCAUCCGGAACUGUCAGGCUAGAGUGCAGGAGAGGAAGGUAGAAUUCUCGGUGUAGCGGUGAAAUGCGUAGAGAUCGGGAGGAAUACCAGUGGCGAAGGCGGCCUUCUGGACUGACACUGACGCUGAGGUGCGAAAGCGUGGGUAGCAAACAGGAUUAGAUACCCUUGUAGUC